GACGAACGCUGGCGGCGUGCUUAACACAUGCAAGUCGAACGAUGAACCGGAGCUUGCUCUGGGGAUUAGUGGCGAACGGGUGAGUAACACGUGGGCAACCUGCCCCAGACACCGGGAUAACCAUUCGAAAGGAUGGCUAAUACCGGAUACGACCACUUCGGGCAUCCGAUGGUGGUGGAAAGGAUUCUGGUCUGGGAUGGGCCCGCGGCCUAUCAGCUUGUUGGUGGGGUAAUGGCCUACCAAGGCGACGACGGGUAGCCGGCCUGAGAGGGCGACCGGCCACACUGGGACUGAGACACGGCCCAGACUCCUACGGGAGGCAGCAGUGGGGAAUAUUGCGCAAUGGGCGAAAGCCUGACGCAGCGACGCCGCGUGAGGGACGAAGGUCUUCGGAUUGUAAACCUCUUUCAGCAGGGAUGAAGCGAAAGUGACAGUACCUGCAGAAGAAGCACCGGCUAACUACGUGCCAGCAGCCGCGGUAAU
rnacentral:rRNA from 1 species